ensembl:lncRNA
AAACCGUAUAACCACCGGAUUUACAUGAAGAUGACCUAGUGGAGACAAGCUGGACCUCACCUUACCAACAAGCUAUCAAAUCUGUUAUGUUUAAACAGUGAGACCUCCAAGGAAGGAGAUGCCAAGUAGUGCUUCAAAGCUUCGGACCACAAUCAAACACAGCAUCCUUUUCAACAGAAGCAGAAGCUCAUCUGAAUAUGCUCAAGGAUGCUGACAUCAACAUUUAAUCAUCUCCUCACUCAUCCAGGAAGAAGGGGAGAUCAGGCUUUACCAACGCGUUGAUUUAUUGAGAUAACAAUCAGGAAAAGUUAUUCUCUUCAGCACAAAAGAGGGAAGAAUAAAAGUCAAGCACUAUAAUUCUAAUAACUUGAAUUCAAUAUUCUUUUGGAGCAAGCUGAAUGAUUUUGAGCACACGCCCCGCCGAGGAUGAGUGCACAUGAACUCCCUGCCUGGUCCAGCUCUCCUGUCAGGUGUGUUUCUGCUCCACAGAUGGCCUACGUUCAUCUUGAUGGUGAAGUGGCAUCAAAAGAAAGGCACCCUAGAAACCUAUCUCACCAAAGCAGCGUCUCUGUACCACAGAGAUGAAAGUCGUAGAUAACAGGGGCAUUCCCAGCACUCACUCCCUUGUGGGUAGCUGACAGUUAACACAGGUGGGCGUAGGACACUACCCAUCCUUUGAAGGUUGUCUGUUGGGGGGGGAUGCUGCCUCUCUGGGAUUAGUCCUGUGCCAUGGGCCUCAGAGCUGCUUCUGAGAAGUGACCAGGUGGUGGAUACCUGCCUUGCUUUUCAGAACUUCACACACGGCUGUCAAACUCCCACUGUGGUUCAAAGGCAGCCAGGCAAGGUGGCUGGCCUUUGCGGUACGUGGCCAUUUGAGGGGCCACCUUGAUUCUUGUUCUGCUCAGAUUGCUGAGCAGCUGGAUUGUUUGUCUACCUCCUCCCCGGAGCCGGGAGGGAGGGAGGCUGGAGAGAGCAGAGCUAAAGUGCAUAAGAGAGAAGCAAGUAUUAAAUGAGUCUGCCAUUCACCAAGCAAACAUCAUUUUGUUUAAAUUACACUGUGCUAUUUUAUCUUGACCUGCAACCAAAUGGAACUCAUUGCAAUACAUUAUCCAAUACGAGAUAGUUGGCUCAUUAAUAAAGCCCUAGGAAGGAGACGGGGUAAACAAUAAAAACUCACACAUUAGCACCAUCAUGCACCAUAAUAUUUUUCCUUCUUUUCAUCAAAAUUCUUCACAUAAUUAGAUCUCAAGUAAGUCAGCAAAGAAAUCCUCAGCAUUUUCUAUUUGGACUCUUUUCUUUUGAGAAAAUUAGUUAUUUUUUCGUACUAUUAAGAAGCAAUCAUGGACAGACCUGGCUUGCUGGAAGUUUUCCUUAUGGAGAGUAAAUGUUUGUUGGAUGCUAAUGGCAUGGCAGGUCUUGUCACUCAGGCAGUUAGCCAAGCAAUGACAGAAAUCUCAGUGAAGGGAAAUAAACUUUUUAGGUAGAAAGGAAAAGCCCCAUUAAGGAUGUUACAGUUAGGCUGAGAUCUCUAAUGUUCAUGGGCAAGCCAAUAGAUUAGAUACCCUAGAUUGGGAACAAGCUUGAUGGGCAAGGGAACACCGGGAAGAUCUGUAUAGCUAUGGGAAGGAUAAAAUGUAGUGUGAAAUAAGAUUGGCCAUGGCAAGGUGUUGUCCUCAUUGUGGUUAGAGACUUUCUGUUUGAAGAGAUCAACUCUAUUUGAUGGGGUUGAGAUGGAGUCCAGGCAGACACUUAGAGCCAGCAUUGCAGUAAUCCUGGUGGUGGAGGAGUGACUUGUGUGUUAUAAUGCAGGUAGAAAGAAGUGGAUGACUCAGGACUUGUUCUGGGGAGACAGCUGAUAAAGACAUAGAGUUUGGCUAUGAGGAGAGAAAGUAGACAAGAGAAGUUGAGGCUGAGUUAGGCUCAGGUUGAUGUGUAGUAGACUUCUCUCCUAACCUCCAAGGUGAAACUUGAGAUAAUGAAAAACAUUUAACCAAUUGUCUGAAUAGCAUCAGUGCCUGGUAUAGACAUAGAAGUUGGCCAUGAAGUGUCUAGAAUUGAUAGAACAAUGCUUUGCAUAAUAGUCCUCAGUGGAAUCCACAUCCUGUGUGGUUGGUUCUGUGUGAACUAUUUGUAAUGAACAAUUCACGAAUGAAAUCC